AAACUAGGAUUAGAUACCCUAUUAUUUUAGAGGUAAACAUUGUUAGUAAAUAAAAAUUACGAAAGCAAAAAAUUAUGGCGGUAUUUUAAGCUUUUCAGAGGAAUUUGCUCUUUAAUGGAUAAAACACCUAAAUCUUACUUAAAUUUGUAAAUUCAAUUUGUAUACCACUAUAAAAACAAUUAAUAACUUCAAUUGUUAAAAUUUAUUAAAUUAAGUUAUAUUAAGUCAAGGUGCAGUAAAAAUUUAAGAAUGAAGUGAAUUACAUUUCUUUUUAGAGAGAGAAAUUUAAAUAACAUUUAGGAUUUGAAAGUAAAAUUGAAAUAGAAUGUCAAUUUGAAUUAAGCUCUAAAAUAUGUACAUAUCGCCCGUCACUCUUUAUUAAGAUAAGUCGUUACAUAG
rnacentral:rRNA from 1 species